CGCCCGCGCCCCUCGCACGCUGCAGCGAUGCACGCGCAGCGCGCCCGCGCCGAUGGACUAUUACAGCUUUGUUUACAUCUCCACGUCGCCGCACAAACGCAUCAUAUCACUGAAGCUGAAGUCUCCUGCUGCUGAAACCUAUGUGAGCGCCGCUGAAUCGUUACAACAUCUGAGAUUAAUUUAAUGUCUUGCUAUGUGCAUCCUAACAACCUGUACACUGGUAAGUGUAGCGCCAGUAUAAUUCUAAUUAAAAGUAAAAUCAGUGAAAACAUUUAAAGUGCGCUGUUAAAAUGUUUGGAAGCACAAUUGAAGAAUUGGACAGUAUUUGACAGCGGCCUGUGUUAAUAGAGCGUCAGUCGGGCCGAGUGCAGCGGGCGGGUGCGCUGGGCCGCUGGCUGCAGCGGAGACGAAGGGCUAAUGAAAUGUGGCAUCUAGUUUAGUGGCACUGUAAGUUGAUCGUGGGUGGUGUGCGGCGGGCAGCACGCUCGGAAUGCGCUGCCCUCGGCGCCAGUUUACAAAUAGAAGGGCCGCUAGCGGCUGCACGUGUGAUACAUUGCCGCGAUUAAUCUGUUAACGAUGAUGGCUGCGCUUGCGCCGAAGACGCGACGAUAUCGCCCGACGAUUAAUAAUCGGGAAGUGUGUGUGUAUUGUGUUUGUGAAUUUUUGCGCGCGGGAUUGUUUACUGUAGAACGCUUGAAGCACGGGAAUGACAUCUCGGAGGGACGUUUGUCGGGCACAAGAAAGCGAUGCGGCCCUCCGUUCGCUGACCCCGGCGGCCGUCACGCCUGAGAGAAGACGAGUGCAGCCACUCGCCGUCUGCCCUCCCUCGUCUACUGCUCCCUAACUAUGCAAACGAGAUACCCGGAUCACAUUACUCUUGAAUUAAACAGUUAAGCCGCUUCCAAGUUUAAACUUGAGUUUCUUAAGUUGGAUUACUUUGACUUGAAGACAGGAAAGACUGUAAUUUAGUUAUUUGAUGACAAUAAAUAGAAAUGGUGUCGCAGGCAAUUUGUAUGAUUUCGCAUUUUAUAAACGGCGUUGACCGUUUACAAACGGUCGCUGUUUUAUGAAAUGCCGAAGGCAAAUUGUAAAUUGCCUUGGCACUUAAUAAUAAUAUGCCACAACAUUUGAUAGACAAUUCAAUCGCCGUUUUCAAAUGCCCCGGAAAAUUGAAGUAUUUGGUUCUUUUUUACCACGCAUGGCGCUGCUAAUUAAAACAAGAAAAAUGGCGAGUAGUGGUGUUGUGACUCAGAAAAAUAUUAAAAACAGUGCAAAUUCUACGUGUUCAAAGGACUUUUCACAAAAAAAGUAUAGUUUUAAAUACAUUCGUUUUACGAUUCACAAAUAGGAGCAGUAAAAAAGCCGUGGACAAAUGAAAAAGAUUUCGAGGUUAUCCGGCACGUAAAAACGCUAAGGUGUCCAUGGAAUCUGCUGCUCUGAGGACUGCUGCUGCUCACUGAAAUAUAACAAAUAGGUAUAAAAGUACAUGACACUUUCAGUUUGUAACUUUUUUUUGCCUAUAUUGAAUAUUUUGUCAUUAUUAUUUGGUGUUAUGGCUUCUAGGAAUAAUUAAAAGAUUAGACUUAAUGAAAGAACUGACUAUCGUAAGCUUAUUUUAUGUUCCUACCUAUCCAUUUGUCUUUAGUCAUAUUAUUAAUCAAAGUUGCAUUAUUGUUACAUCGCGUAGGUACGUCAUCAGUUUAAAUUAGUUCCUGAAAUAAAGUCUAAUUUGUCCAACAAGUCUUUUACGUUGGUCACUCUAUUGCAACAAUCAUAGUCAAAAUUUUAUCAAUUUAACGAGUCGCCAAUUUGCCUUAGGCAUUUCAUAAAACAGCGAGCGAUUGUAAACGGUCGACGCCGUUUGUAAAAUGGGGAAUAAUACAAAUUGCCUGCGACAGAUUUAAUAAAUUAUUUAAAUAGGUAAGUACUUUGUUAAAAUUUUGGAAGUAGUUAAAGAAUAGACCAAAUUUUACAGUUGAUUGUAGCUUUAUCUUUCCAUUAUUUUGAAACGGCCUUUGGACUGAAUUAAAAUGAUAAAUGACACUUAAUCUCAUUUCUAAGUGACACAUUAUUACAGAUUCAUACUACAGUAGGUACUAAGGCUGGGUUGCACCAUCUUAAAGUUAAAGUAAGAACUUUAACUUUGACAAAAGUCAAAAAUCUGUCA